rnacentral:rRNA from 1 species
AACGAACGCUGGCGGCAGGCCUAGCACAUGCAAGUCGAGCGCGCCCUUCGGGGUGAGCGGCGGACGGGUGAGUAACGCGUGGGAACGUGCCCUUCUCUGCGGAAUAGCCUCGGGAAGCUGAGAGUAAUACCGCAUACGCCCUUUGGGGGAAAGAUUUAUCGGCGGAGGAUCGGCCCGCGUUGGAUUAGGUAGUUGGUGGGGUAAAGGCCCACCAAGCCGACGAUCCAUAGCUGGUUUGAGAGGAUGCUCAGCCACACUGGGACUGAGACACGGCCCAGCCUCCUACGGGAGGCAGCAGUGGGGAAUCUUAGACAAUGGGGGCAACCCUGAUCUAGCCAUGCCGCGUGAGUGAUGAAGGCCUUAGGGUUGUAAAGCUCUUUCAGCUGGGAAGAUAAUGACGGUACCAGCAGAAGAAGCCCCGGCUAACUCCGUG